rnacentral:rRNA from 1 species
UACGAAGGGGGCUAGCGUUGCUCGGAAUGACUGGGCGUAAAGGGCGCGUAGGCGGAUUGUACAGUCAGGCGUGAAAUUCCCGGGCUCAACCUGGGGGCUGCGCUUGAGACGUGCGAUCUUGAGUGGGGAAGAGGGUCGUGGAAUUCCCAGUGUAGAGGUGAAAUUCGUAGAUAUUGGGAAGAACACCGGUGGCGAAGGCGGCGACUUGGUCCUUGACUGACGCUGAGGCGCGAAAGCGUGGGGAGCAAACAGG